GACCUCAUUCUUGGUGCCUGUGGGCCUGGCUGCUCCUGGGGCCCAGACAAGUGAAUGUGGACACAUUGACCCACAAGUCAUGAUUCCAUCACAGCAGGCACAUUGCCGUGGUGACAAUGGGACCUGUGGCUUGU